AUUGAACGCUGGCGGCAUGCCUUACACAUGCAAGUCGAACGGCAGCGGGCCUUCGGGUGCCGGCGAGUGGCGAACGGGUGAGUAAUGCAUCGGAACGUGCCAUUGAGUGGGGGAUAACGUAGCGAAAGUUACGCUAAUACCGCAUAUUCUGUGAGCAGGAAAGCAGGGGACCGCAAGGCCUUGCGCUCUUUGAGCGGCCGAUGUCAGAUUAGCUAGUUGGUGAGGUAAAGGCUUACCAAGGCGACGAUCUGUAGCGGGUCUGAGAGGAUGAUCCGCCACACUGGAACUGAGACACGGUCCAGACUCCUACGGGAGGCAGCAGUGGGGAAUUUUGGACAAUGGGCGCAAGCCUGAUCCAGCCAUGCCGCGUGAGUGAAGAAGGCCUUCGGGUUGUAAAGCCCUUUCGGCCGGGAAGAAAUCGCAUGGGUUAAUACCCUGUGUGGAUGACGGUACCGGAAUAAGAAGCACCGGCUAACUACGUG
rnacentral:rRNA from 1 species